UGUCUUUGGGUUUGUGGAGGAAAUUCCUUCACUCAUUCUUUUGUCAUCUGAUUGUUCAGUUAACAGGAGGAGAGCAUGUUCCAUGUGGCAACUAGGGCUGGAUGAAGGUACCAGACGCCCAGAAGAUGGUGUGCUGUGAUGAAGAAAACUUGGGAAUUAUACGUAUCUAAGUCUGAAUCCCGCCUCCACGCACUUGCAAUUUAACCUGUCUGGUCAUUUCCUUAUCUACGAAAUGAUGCUAAUGAUACCUGCUAGGAACCCGAAGACAGUAAAGGUCACAAAUGAUGUACCUGUUAUAUCUGGCAGAGGGCCAGAACAUUUCUGGGGUUUGGUAUUCCUUUUUCUUCUCUCCUCUGAGGUUUAUACGGCCUCCCUAAGCAUCAAAUAUUUAUGCAGCCUCCGGAGGGAAGGGAGUCCCACAAACAGUGUCGAGUGAAAGAUACAGCAGUCAAUCAAAAGGCACAAUCCUUGAGUCCCAAUGUUUGCAAUUUAAGAGGCACACACUGGGAUGAAACACGAGAGAAUGAAUUGUGAAACAGAUGUUACACUUUUGAUAAACAACUCUUGUCUAGAAAGCUUUGCUGUGCUUUUGUAUUUUGUUGGCAUCUUAGCACAUUGGUUUUCAAAUGUUUUUGACCAUGACC